UUUCAAUAAAAAUAUUUUACUCCAAGACUUGAGAGAAUGAUGUGCAGAUGAAAAAAGGCUUGGUCCCUGUUGAUCUGUGUGCUAUUUCUACAAAGCACUGUUAGUAAUAAAUUAUGCUUUCUUGUUUUGGUUGGC